CCUAUACAUACAAGUAAAAAAAGCAUUAGGCACCUGGCACAAUUCUAUUAGGACCUAAUUCUGACAACAAUACACGUCAUUAUAGUGGGAUCUGAUAAUGAGCAAACACUGGAGGCAUUACACGUCUUUAGAAGAAUCAGACUUCCUACCUUAUUAAGACUGAUAGAAGGAAGAGUGGAGAUGCACUGGCACAGGUCACUAUCCCUGGAGGCAAUCAAGAACUGUGGAGAUGUGGCACUGAGGGGCAUGGUGGAGACAGAUUGGACACAAUGAACUUAAUGAUCCUUUCCAACCUUGAUGAUGCUGUGAUGCUGUGCAGACUUUUGUGAUCCUCCACAUGCAGUCAUACUGCUUGGAAAUUAUCCCAAAAGUUAGGAAAGCAAAGUAGAACAGCUGAUCACACAUUUCCUGAGUCAGCAGUCAAAAAUACGAAGGAAUAUGAAACCUACUCAUUGAGAAAUAGUAUCUGGUGAGAUUUGGUGGGACAAAUUGUCCUGUAUUGGCAGUUAAAACUGUUCAGCUGAACUCUGGCUUGUAGGAAUGUUGUCUUCUGCAAAAUACUGCUUGUUCGUUGAUCAAUAACCUGAAACUGUAAAGACAACAAGGGCUAAACUCUGUCUCCAGCUCAUUUGUGGAUUGAGCUCAGUCCAACAAACAUUUGUUGUGUUUCCAUUGCUGAACCAUGUUUCUAAGGAAAAGCCUAUGGAGUUUUCUCUGCAGGAUCCAACAUUUACUUAUAAUGCAGAUUCCAAAAUGAUGCCUCUGCCUGAACAGAAUAUAUGGAAGCAAGAUGGAUCUCCUCAAAAAAUAUUCAGAGAUAGUUCUUUGUCUCAGAUUUCAAAUUCAUCAUUCAAAGGGAAGAGUUUACCUUCUACUUUACUACAAACUUCUGAGAGUCAGCCUUGGAAUGCAGAUGUGCAACAUACGGUUGGUUAUGCAUAUGUGUCAACUCUUUCAACAGCAAAGAGGAGAAAAAUAGACAAGACUUGGAAGUUUUUGUGGCUUUUACGUUUUAGAUGCUUUGGCACUAUGUGUCUGGUAUUCACAAUUAUACUAGAUCUUGUUCAGUUUAGAAAAUAAGGUUUACAUUCUUUUUUCACAGAAGAAAUGACAAGUACUAUUUUAAUCUUUAUAUUGAGUUUCAAUAUUAAGCACUCCUAUUGCCUAUCAGUUUGGGAGGGUAGGCUGCAGCUUUGAGUUAGCAUAUUCUGAAUGUAGCACUUACAGGUAGAAGCUACUGCCAACAGCAAAAAAGGGAGAAAAGUUUGGAAGCAGAUCUCAUUUAAGGUUUACAACAUUGCCAGACUCAAGAGAAGUGUUUAUUCAGGAGUCCAUAUCUGCCAUGCAAACCACUGAACAACUCCAUCUGACAGCUUUUCAAAAUAGCUAUUCUUGAUACAACAUUUUUGGGCAUGAUAUGAUCCAGACAAUUUAUGUAGUUUAUAUGUUUAUCUGUGUACUAAUUAAUUCUUUGUCUUUUGGAGCUCUGAUUUCCUGUUUAACACAUUUAACAGUGUGCCACUGUGAUCCAAGGAGAAAAAUUCUUUUGGCAUUUAUGUGGUGUGAAGUCAAAACAAUUCAGUGGAUUUACACUCCCUUUAGAGCAGAAUUUGAUCCUCUCAGUGGAAUUAACAAACAGCUGUAAUUGCCUCCAUUUAAAAGAACAACAAAAAAAAAACAACUAAGUGCAAACAGAUUUUACCUUCCUUCCUCACCAUUUGUUUUUUUUACAUGCCAAAGGACAUUUAGCAGAGGACAGAGCAAAGCUUUUCAAGGAGGCUCAUGCAAGUCAGUAAAGUCAACAACAAGACUGAAUCUAGGUUUUGAACUGGUCUCCCAUUAAAACUGCUCAAGGGGUAGCAACUAUCAAGAUUUUAAUCUGGAGCAUUGGGAAUAACUGAAUGCAGUUUGUUCUGAGAGAAGGAUCAACAGGAAGGAAAUGAGAGCUGAGAAUGGCAUUGUUUUGCAGGGCAGUGCUUACUGCACAGUAACUGUGCAGUAGGUAACAUUCACAGGAACUAUCAGCUGUGGACAGUGUUCUGUAAAGAUGUGGAAAUGCCUGUCCCUUUUAGAAGCCAGUGCUUAAAAGCAAUUUUCAUCAAGUUAUUUAUAGCAGCACAUAUGACACUAAGAAGCAAGCUGACAAAGGCAUGUGAGGAAGUACCCGUACACUUAAACUGCAGGAACUGAUAUCUAUUAAACUUUCUCUACUUUUAUUCAAUUGGUAUAUCUCAUAUAUUUUGUUUUCUUUUGAACUGAUGGAUACAAAAUCUUUAUUCACGAGGCUUUUUGAAGAUCUACAUGCCACUUAACCUAAAGUGGAUGUAAGGUUUAGUUUGUGUAGUGUAUGAAUGGGUGCUGAUAUGUAUGUAUAAAUUUUUGUGCUGAAACAUUUUAAGUAUGAAAGCUGCUGCAAAAGUAAUGCCUCCUGAGAGGUGUAUGUUGGUGGGAUGGAGUAGAGGUUGAACAUUUCCACUAAUAUCCCAUUACAUUUUGCUGCUGUGUGACAGAUGGCAGCAGAGGGGCAGUCUGACAGAAUGGUGCCUGACAUGGAAAUGCAUAUGAAAUGAAGGUGUGUAAUUGAAUUCCUCCAUGCAGGAAAAACUGGCACUCGCUGACAUUCCCUGAUGCUUGCUGAACAUUUAUGGAGACCAAACAGAGAAUGUGAGCACAGUGAGGUGGUGGGUGAUGUGUUUCAGCAAUGGCCACAGCAAUGUGAAAAAGAAGUUCAGGAUGGCCAUGCAGAUUUUUAUAAGAGUGAUUUGCAGGCUCUUGUUCAUUGCUUCUGAAAAUGCAUAGCUAAUGGUACUAACUAUGUUGAGAAAUAGUGUUUUGUAGCUGAAAAUUUGUUCUCUUGAAUAGUAUUAUUGUGCUCUUUGCAUCUGUUAUUGUUUCCAUGGAAAUAAAUAGGAGUCAUUACUUUUGGAGCAAGCUGACUAUUUACACUGUAGAAUCUGGAAGGCUGAGAAAUGCUGAAAGCUUUGAGAUGCUUUAGAAUGCAUUUGGUGGCUAUCUCAACUUUGUAGAAGAAGAUAUUGACAUUUUUCUUUACGUAGACUAAUCUAGUUUGAUUUGCAUUCCUUUUAUGAUGCUAAUGUAUGCUAUAUAUAGCAUACAUUAAACAAAAUUUUAACUACAAAUGCAUUUUAUCAAACUCAUUAUCCCCAGAAUAUUACUAUCUCUUUAUUAAAUCACAUAGGAAGCAUUAGAUGUGAUUAAUGUGUAUGGCAGACGCUAGAACAAAGUAUUUAAUUGAGAUACAUGUCAGAGCCUACUCUGCUUCUCUUAUAUUGAAGUUUCCUGGAUAACAUGCUGACAUUGUCUUAUAAAUUAAAUUGAAAUAAAUAAGAUAAUCUGGAGUGUUCUGAAAUUCACUCACUAAAACAAACAAACAAAAAAUGAUUUUAAUUUUUUUAAAAUUAGCACUACAAACAGAACAUUUUCUACAAAAAAACAACAAAACAAAAGAAACAAAUCCCCCCCCCACAAAAAAAGAGAGUCUUAAUAUUAUUAGAACUGUAUUCCACUGUUUUUGUCUGAAAGAAAUUAGAACUGACUUUGUAAUGCAUUGACAAAGCUGCAUAUUCCAGAGGAACAUGAUUCCACCUAAAUUUCUCUGACCAGAACCAAAAAUAAUGAAUACUGGUUUUUUGAAAUUCCCAGCACAGAAGUGUAUAAGCUGCUGAGAAUUUAGAAGCCAGAAAGAGACAAAGUAUACACAUUCCAUCAUUCAACAUGUGGCACGAGGAAUUUGAUGCUGUUUGUUGGCUGACAACCUUAGUUCUCAAAUUUUGAGAAAGUCAGAACUCCGUGGCAGGAUUAAGCUGAUAUGGCUGACCGCAGAGUGAUGAGCUCUGACUGACACAGCACUACUCAGAAUGGUGUUCUCAUGCACAGCAGAGGAAAAAAAUGUUAAAAUUUCCCUUCCCUUAGAGAAUGAAGAGGGCAGAAAGAAGGAAGGAGAAAGAAGGCAGCGGAGAAGAAAAAAAAUACAUGGCAUAGCAUAUGUUAUGAAUUUAAAAGAAAAAAACUGCUUACUCAAGUACAUAAAAGACCCAUUAAUAUCUUACUUUUCUUUUUUAAAUGUAAAAUUCACUUGUUUGGGGUGAAGUGAUAGAGAUAUUUUGGCAGCCAAAGUGCUAUAUAGGAGGUCAGGCCUUUGCUGUCACUGUUGCUGAAUGCUUGGUAGCCCCAGCUGCACAAGAGCCCACAGGCAGAAGCUUCACAUGGACCCAGCAGUCUGGCUAGGAAGCAAAAGCGUUUCCUAGAGAUCUGUAGUCUGGCACUUCCUACUUGUGUGUGUACCAGCCUGCUCAACAUCCAGGCUCCCCGCAAGCUACAUUACACUUUGGGAUUCACAGCAAGCAUAUUGAAAGUAAUGGAAAAAUUAACAUUGAUCUUCAAGGCCUUCCAGAUAGAUCUUCUGUGAGUGCAAAUGCUCCAAACACCGAUGUAGAGAUGUUAAUGUGAGUUUGUCAUAGAGUGAAAUUGUUACAGAAUUGUACAUAAACAAUUUUAAAGUGUGGAGCAAUAACCAUUUAGUGAGUGAGAUGAAAUGGGGACGUUCAAUUCACAGCAACAUAUUUUAGCAUUUUGUUUAUAUGAUAGCAAACAAAUUGCUAUGAAUUUUAGGAGUUUUUUUUCCAUCAAUUUACUAGCAUUUAUUAGCAACUUUUUCUCCUGCUGAAUUGAGGGACUCCACGUAUUUCACUUAUUUACCUGUCCUCUGUUCUUUAUUUUUAUUUUAUACUUCUGGGAUAAUUAGUAUGAAAUUACAGCAGAGAAGGAAAUAUCCUGUUGAACUUAACAGUUCCUGGAAGCAACAGAGAGAAAUGGUACACAGAGCAAAGGGAAGAUCUGGAGCAGGUAGAUGUCACAGCAAGUACAACAUAUGAUGAAGCUCCAGUUAUCAAAGGUUUCUAGUACCCCAGGGAUGUGUGUAUAAUGGGGAGUCUACCCCAUGUAACAGACAUCUCAAUUACACUUGAACUUUCAGCAUCCUACAGCAAACACAAACCUGAACCAGAGCUGUGUGUAUACACAGAAAUCUAAACAGAUUAGCUUACUCGGAGACAGUGAACCGAACAACAAACAAACAGAAAUUAGGAUAAAGGAGAUCAAUACGCAGCAGCACAAGGGGAAGGUUAGCAUCUAAAUCUCAGGUUGCUGACAACUGGUGGAUUCAUUGCUUUUUUCAGAGGAGAAAUAGCUAGUUCAGCACCUCCAUUGAGAACACAGGCAAGAAUGGCAUUUACACUUUUGCAGCUUGCACAGCAAUCCUAUGAGGGUGGAUUAUUGCAUACUGAUGAAAACAAACAUAAGCCAAGCUCUGGGAUCACACUGUACUGCUAACUACUUUUCAAAGAAAGCUUAGACUAUGGAGAUUGCAAAUAUCACAGGUCCCACAUCGCAGUGACAAACACAGUAUACAAACACUAAAGCCAUUGGCAUGUUUAGAUAGUCCUGAUCAACCACAACAGGCUCCUGCUAUCGUGUUUUCAAAUGGAAUUUUCUGAAGGGUAAUAGCAGUGUGUGUACACGAGGGAGAAUCAAAUUUACUAGCAUUUUUAAAGUAACAGACAUGGCCUUAUAUGUUCCUUUUGAGAAAAAAAAAAAACCAAAAACACGUUACCAGAUUCUAUAUUGCAGUUGUUUUCUUCAACUGUACUGGUUACAGUACCUUCUAAAACUUUAAUUUUCUAGCCAGAUAGCAAGCAUACCUGAGAUCCUUUACUAUGCACUUGAUUACAUGUGCCUGGUUGACAUUGUAACCACAGCAUCUUUACUGUGAUGAGGAUAUUUAAUAUUAUUUUUUAAUUUAUAAAGUCUAAUUUACAACUAUACAGAUUCACACAAUGCAAUAAUAAAGAGGAUGCAUGAUGAAACCUGACAGGAUACUGAGCUUAUUGCACAAGUAUGGACAGCUGAAAAAGCAAGAAAUAAUACAGUUGUUACCGGGCUGCUUCACCUUAACACCAUAUAAACAAAAGCAUUGUUGUUAACCAGUCAAACUCUUCAGCUGCCUGAUCCCGGAGUAUUAAUCCUGAAUAUGAAAACCACGAACCUCCAGCUUUGUCUGAUAUUUAAAACAUAUGAUUGUGCAGUAGUCUGUUUUGUUGAAGAAAUUAUUUUAAUGUCUGAAAUGAGAAUAUACACAUAUAGAAGAAAUAAUAAAAUAAUUCC
ensembl:lncRNA